AGAGUUUGAUCAUGGCUCAGAAUGAACGUUGGCGGCGUGGAUUAGGCAUGCAAGUCGAGCGAGAACCCCGCAAGGGGGGACAGCGGCGAAAGGGACAGUAAUGUGUAGAUUAUCUGCCCUCAGGUCCGGGAUAGCUGCGGGAAACUGCAGGUAAUACCGGAUAACAUCUCCGGAUCAAAGGUGUGAUUCCGCCUGAGGAUGAGUCUACAUCCUAUUAGCUAGUUGGUAGGGUAAUGGCCUACCAAGGCUUUGAUGGGUAGCGGGUGUGAGAGCACGACCCGCGUCAUUGGGACUGAGACACUGCCCAGACACCUACGGGUGGCUGCAGUCGAGAAUCUUCGGCAAUGGGCGCAAGCCUGACCGAGCGACGCCGCGUGUGGGAUGAAGGCCUUCGGGUUGUAAACCACUGUCAGAGGGGAUGAAAUGCAGGUGGGUUCUCCCAUCUGUUUGACAUAGCCUCAGAGGAAGGACGGGCUAAGUUCGUGCCAGCAGCCGCGGUAAGACGAACCGUCCAAACGUUAUUCGGAAUCACUGGGCUUAAAGGGUGCGUAGGCGGCGCGGAAAGUUGGGUGUGAAAUCCCUCGGCUCAACCGAGGAACUGCGCCCAAAACUACCGUGCUCGAGGGAGAUAGAGGUGAGCGGAACUUAGGGUGGAGCGGUGAAAUGCGUUGAUAUCCUAAGGAACACCGGUGGCGAAAGCAGCUCACUGGAUCUCUUCUGACGCUGAGGCACGAAAGCUAGGGUAGCGAACGGGAUUAGAUACCCCAGUAGUCC
rnacentral:rRNA from 1 species